rnacentral:rRNA from 1 species
UCGCUGUAGCAAUACGGUGGAAGUUCUAGUGGCGAACGGGUGCGUAACACGUGGGCAAUCUGCCUUAAAGUGGGGGAUAGCUCGGCGAAAGCCGGAUUAAUACCGCAUGUGAUUACCGGAGACAUCUUCGGAACAUCAAAGUCGGGGCAACCUGACGCUUUUUGAGGAGCCCGCGGCCUAUCAGCUUGUUGGUGAGGUAACGGCUCACCAAGGCGUUGACGGGUAGCUGGUCUGAGAGGACGACCAGUCACACUGGAACUGAGACACGGUCCAGACACCUACGGGUGGCAGCAGUCGAGAAUUUUUCUCAAUGGGGGAAACCCUGAAGGAGCGACGCCGCGUGGAGGAUGAAGGUCUUCGGGUUGUAAACUCCUGUCAUUUGGGAACAAUGCUGACGCGUUAACUGCGCGUUAGUUGAUAGUACCAGAAGAGGAAGAGACGGCUAACUCUGUGCCAGCAGCCGCGGUAAUACAGAGGUCUCAAGCGUUGUUCGGAUUCAUUGGGCGUAAAGGGUGUGUAGGUGGCGCGCUAAGUCGGGUGUGAAAUUUCGGAGCUUAACUUCGAAACUGCAUUCGAUACUGGCGUGCUUGAGGACUGGAGAGGAGACUGGAAUUCACGGUGUAGCA